rnacentral:rRNA from 1 species
UACGAAGGGGGCUAGCGUUGUUCGGAAUUACUGGGCGUAAAGGGCGCGUAGGCUGUGCUGUAAGUCAGGUGUGAAAGCCCCGGGCUCAACCUGGGAAUUGCAUUCGAGACUGCGUAGCUAGGGUGCGGAAGAGGGAAGCGGAAUUUCCGGUGUAGCGGUGAAAUGCGUAGAUAUCGGAAGGAACACCAGUGGCGAAAGCGGCUUCCUGGUCCAGCACCGACGUUCAGGCACGAAAGCGUGGGGAGCAAACAGG